UAAGCAAAACCAUUUUUUUUCUAUUUUCAUAUUUUACAAUUUCAAAAUAACAAAAAGGAAAAGGGCCCGAAGCAAAACUUUGGCACCCUGCAUGGUUGGUACCUAGUGGCACCCCCUUUGGCAAGUAUCACAAAUUACAAAUGCUUUUUUU